rnacentral:rRNA from 1 species
CUACGCUCUAGUGAAUCAUCGAAUCUUUGAACGCAAUUUGCACCUCGUGGCUUCUGUCACAAGGUAUACUUGUUUGAGUAACCGAUACACCUCACCUCCCCUUUUGGGCGAGUGUGGACUUGAGAGGUUCGAUGAGGUACGCGAAAGUGUGCGCAAGUCGUCUCUUUAAAUGUGUUGACCAGCUGUGGAAAGUCUCCGUUGGAGCCUGACGUGACUAUUGGGAUAACAUCCUAACAAUCGUCCGUCUGCCGCUCAUUUUUUCGGCGUUGACUGACCUUGUCAAAAGCUAGAGGAUACUCUUUUCUCCUUCUCUUCAACCGAGGAGUUUGGGAAAAGAGAACCAUCUUCACGAGCUCCUCCAAGGGGGUGGUAAAAUUUCAUGUCAAUUUUGGUGAAUUAAUUGGUUGUGCCUCUUCGUGACACACACAAGCAUGUACACUUAUAUCCAACCCUUGAGGUUCUCCGUUGAAUGGUUCUCAAAUCAAGUAAGGUACCCGCUGAACUUAAGCAUAUCAAUAAGCGGAGG